AACAUGCAAUUAGAUGGAUCCAGCUUUGGAGAAGAUUCAGAAAAUAUUCUUUUCCCCUUGAAAGCAAAACUCUUUAAGCAAUUGGAACAAGGAGGCAACAUUGUGCUUGUGCAGAAUGUGACUUCUAAAUAUUUGUUCUUCUGCUGGCAGAUGAAAGCAGACAGAAAACCUUCAGAGACCAGAAUGACUUAACCACAGAGACCCCAUCACUGCGGAAGCUCCCCUGGUAAAAGACCUGAAGCCUGGAAAAGAUGGCCUUUUGAAGACUUCCUACAGGAAGUGGAAGAGGCCAUCAGAGACUGACA